GAUGAAGAACGCAGCGAAAUGCGAUAAGUAAUGUGAAUUGCAGAAUUCAGUGAAUCAUCGAAUCUUUGAACGCACAUUGCGCCCCCUGGUAUUCCGGGGGGCAUGCCUGUUCGAGCGUCAUUUCACCACUCAAGCCUCGCUUGGUAUUGGGCAACGCGGUCCGCCGCGUGCCUCAAAUCGACCGGCUGGGUCUUCUGUCCCCUAAGCGUUGUGGAAACUAUUCGCUAAAGGGUGUUCGGGAGGCUACGCCGUAAAACAACCCCAUGUCUAAGGUUGACCUCGGAUCAGGUAGGGAUACCCGCUGAACUUAAGCAUAUCAAUAAGCGGAGGA
rnacentral:misc_RNA from 1 species